rnacentral:rRNA from 1 species
AUUGAACGCUGGCGGCAGGCCUAACACAUGCAAGUCGAGCGGAUGAAGGGAGCUUGCUCCUGGAUUCAGCGGCGGACGGGUGAGUAAUGCCUAGGAAUCUGCCUGGUAGUGGGGGAUAACGUCCGGAAACGGGCGCUAAUACCGCAUACGUCCUGAGGGAGAAAGUGGGGGAUCUUCGGACCUCACGCUAUCAGAUGAGCCUAGGUCGGAUUAGCUAGUUGGUGGGGUAAAGGCCUACCAAGGCGACGAUCCGUAACUGGUCUGAGAGGAUGGUCAGUCACACUGGAACUGAGACACGGUCCAGACUCCUACGGGAGGCAGCAGUGGGGAAUAUUGGACAAUGGGCGAAAGCCUGAUCCAGCCAUGCCGCGUGUGUGAAGAAGGUCUUCGGAUUGUAAAGCACUUUAAGUUGGGAGGAAGGGCAGUAAGUUAAUAACUUGCUGUUUUGACGUUACCAACAGAAUAAGCACCGGCUAACUUCGUG